rnacentral:misc_RNA from 1 species
GACGGUAACUGGGUCAUUAGCUCCUCUUGUGAAAGACGGCCCACAAGCUUUGUCAAACAGUUUAUGCACGUAACAAGAGUUUUCUCAUCCUCAGUAACCAAUAAAGGGACAACCACACUUAAACAUUUGAAUGGAUCAUACUGAGACAACAAGAUGCUCAGGCAGUGCUCAGCUUCAUUAGAAACUUUUGGAACAGCAUCCUUCGUAACAUGAAGCAGCUUCUCAAUCACAAUC